GAUGAACGCUGGCGGCGUGCCUAAUACAUGCAAGUAGGACGCAGUUGUGAACGGGCGAGUAACGCGCAGGUAACUGACUAUUAGAGGGGGAUAACUACUGGAAACGAUAGCUAAUACCGCAUACUAGUAGAUGGAUCUGUGUUGUCUUAGCUAGUAGGUAGGGUAAUGGCCUACCUAGGAAAUGUUGCAUAACCGACCUGGAGAGGUGGUCGGCCACACUAGUGCUGAGACACGGCCCAGACGCCUACGGGAGGCAGCAGUAGGGGAUCUUCGGCAAUGGGGGGAACCCUGACGAAGCAACGCCGCGUGAGUGGAGAAGGUUUUCGGGUCGUAAAGCUCUGUUGUUAAGGGAGCGGUACUUAACCAGAAAGAGACGGCUAACUACGUGCCAGCAGCCGCGGUAAUUC
rnacentral:rRNA from 1 species